rnacentral:lncRNA from 1 species
GUGACGGCAUUAAAUCGGUUGACAUAGGUUUGGAUGGAUUCUCCUUCCUUCUUCUUGAUGUUGAUAAGGGACUCCGAACCUCUCCGGAGAUGCUGGCUACUAACAAAAUGAGCCACAAACUGGUGGCUCGUCUGAUCAAAAGAGAAGAUAGUACCUGAUUUCAGUACCGAGUACCAGUUCCUUGCUGCUCCCUUCAAGG